rnacentral:rRNA from 1 species
AGAUACCCUGGUAGUCCACGCCGUAAACGAUGAGUGCUAGGUGUAGAGGGUAUCGACCCCUUCUGUGCCGGAGUUAACACAAUAAGCACUCCGCCUGGGGAGUACGGUCGCAAGACUGAAACUCAAAGGAAUUGACGGGGGCCCGCACAAGCAGCGGAGCAUGUGGUUUAAUUCGACGCAACGCGAAGAACCUUACCAGGACUUGACAUCCCUCGCUAUUCGUAGAAAUGCGGAGUUCCCUUCGGGGACGAGGAGACAGGUGGUGCACGGUUGUCGUCAGCUCGUGUCGUGAGAUGUUGGGUUAAGUCCCGCAACGAGCGCAACCCUUGUCCUUAGUUGCCAGCACGUAAAGGUGGGCACUCUAGGGAGACUGCCGGUGACAAACCGGAGGAAGGUGGGGAUGACGUCAAAUCAUCAUGCCCCUUAUGUCCUGGGCUACACACGUGCUACAAUGGGCUGUACAGAGGGAAGCGAGACCGCGAGGUGGAGCGAAUCCCAUAAAACAGCUCUCAGUUCAGAUCGCAGGCUGCAACUCGCCUGCGUGAAGAUGGAGUUGCUAGUAAUCGCCGGUCAGCAUACGGCGGUGAAUGCGUUCCCGGGCCUUGUACACACCGCCCGUCACACCACGAAAGUUGACAACACCCAACGUCGGUGAGCUAACCAGUCUAGAGAUUAGAGGUUAGAGGUAAGAGGUUAGAUCGAAGAGGAGUAACUUCCCAGCGGUCCAACUUCCAACAUCUAAUUUCCAACCUCUAGAUUGGAGGCAGCCGCCUAAGGUGGGGUUGAUGAUUGGGGUGAAGUCGUAACAAGGUAGCCGUAUCGGAAGGUGCGGCUG